CCUCGUAUAAAUACUCGAGGGACUUAAAUGUAAUUAUGUAAUAAAGGAAUGGGCAAAUAUGUAAUUAGGGGAGGAGCCCUUAUUCUAUAAAAGGGCCUCCUCACCCUCACAAAGAGGGGGGGUCUCUCCUCAUCCCUCUCAAAGCUUCCUCACACCCCUAAGCUCUAAGCUCUCUCUCUCCUUCUUCAACAGAGAAAUACAAUACAAUCAGUGUGGACGUAGCCCAAACCUUGGGGUGAACCACGAUACAUCUUGUGUCAUUUACAUCUCAUGCAGAUUCACGGUCGGAUUUACGUUGUACCAAGACCAUCCGGUUUUGUGCAUCAACAAGCUCUAAUUGAAGAAUGCGGAAAUCGGAUGUCUAAUACAUAUACAACGCAGGUGGAAGGGUGGAGCUUAAGAAGCCAGAUUAUCCAAUCGAACCGUAGCCGUUCUUGAAGAUUAUUUCUUCUAUGAAGAGUGACCAAUGUCAUUUGUACAGGAAUUCUCGUCAAAAAGUAGCUCGUCUUACUAUUUUGAUACAUGUCAUUUGCGUUCGCUAGCUAGCUAGUAUUAAUAAUCAAUUGAUUAAAAUCUUAUUCUUUUUUAAUUUUUUAUUAAGAUCCUUAUGUAUUAAUAAAUGUCAUUAAUUAUUUCAAUAAUAAAAAAAAUUUAUUUCUAAA